rnacentral:rRNA from 1 species
UACGUAGGGGGGCGAGCGUUGUCCGGAUUUAUUGGGCGUAAAGAGCUCGUAGGCGGUCUGUCGCGUCGAUCGUGAAAACUUGGGGCUUAACCCUGAGCUUGCGGUCGAUACGGGCAUGACUGGAGUUCGGCAGGGGAGACUGGAAUUCCUGGUGUAGCGGUGAAAUGCGCAGAUAUCAGGAGGAACACCGGCGGCGAAGGCGGGUCUCUGGGCCGUAACUGACACUGAGGAGCGAAAGCGUGGGGAGCGAACAGG